CCUACGGGGGGCUGCAGUGGGGAAUAUUGGACAAUGGGGGAACCCUGAUCCAGCCAUGCCGCGUGUGUGAAGAAGGCCCUCGGGUUGUAAAGCACUUUCAGUGAGGAAGAACGCCUGGUGGUUAAUACCCAUCAGGAAAGACAUCACUCACAGAAGAAGCACCGGCUAACUCCGUGCCAGCAGCCGCGGUAAUACGGAGGGUGCGAGCGUUAAUCGGAAUUACUGGGCGUAAAGCGCGCGUAGGUGGCUUGAUAAGCCGGUUGUGAAAGCCCCGGGCUCAACCUGGGAACGGCAUCCGGAACUGUCAAGCUAGAGUGCAGGAGAGGAAGGUAGAAUUCCCGGUGUAGCGGUGAAAUGCGUAGAGAUCGGGAGGAAUACCAGUGGCGAAGGCGGCCUGCUGGACUGACACUGACACUGAGGUGCGAAAGCGUGGGUAGCAAACAGGAUUAGAUACCCGUGUAGUC
rnacentral:rRNA from 1 species